rnacentral:tRNA from 1 species
UUCCUGGUGAUCCAGAGGUUAGGACUCCACACUUUCACUGUUGAAGGCCCAGGUUCAAUCCCUGGUUAGAGAA